rnacentral:rRNA from 1 species
UGGGGAAUUUUGGACAAUGGGCGAAAGCCUGAUCCAGCAAUGCCGCGUGUGUGAAGAAGGCCUUCGGGUUGUAAAGCACUUUUGUCCGGAAAGAAAUCCUUGGCUCUAAUACAGUCGGGGGAUGACGGUACCGGAAGAAUAAGCACCGGCUAACUACGUGCCAGCAGCCGCGGUAAUACGUAGGGUGCAAGCGUUAAUCGGAAUUACUGGGCGUAAAGCGUGCGCAGGCGGUUUGCUAAGACCGAUGUGAAAUCCCCGGGCUCAACCUGGGAACUGCAUUGGUGACUGGCAGGCUAGAGUAUGGCAGAGGGGGGUAGAAUUCCACGUGUAGCAGUGAAAUGCGUAGAGAUGUGGAGGAAUACCGAUGGCGAAGGCAGCCCCCUGGGCCAAUACUGACGCUCAUGCACGAAAGCGUGGGGAGCAAACAGGAUUAGAUACCCUGGUAGUCCACGCCCUAAACGAUGUCAACUAGUUGUUGGGGAUUCAUUUCCUUAGUAACGUAGCUAACGCGUGAAGUUGACCGCCUGGGGGGUACGGUCGCAAGAUUAAAACUCAAAGGAAUUGACGGGGUCAUAGCUGUUUCC